UUUUGAUAGAAAAAAAAAAACAUGAAAAACCUCACAACGAAACAAAUACGGCAAAGAUUAUGUUCGAAAUUAUGGCACCACUGUUGUAAAUUCGAAUGGGCACUAUUGAUUCAUGCAGUGAUCGUUUUCGAAUUAUCGAUGUUCUCAGUAUUCGAGUCUGAAAGAGAAUUGAAAGAAGUUAGACACAGAAGAAGCUUGAAAACGCUCCAAAAAAAAAUAAACCUGUUCGGUCCAACAACGUGGUGUUCAUAAUUCUGGAGCAGUGGGCAACUAUUCUAGUCAGAGGGAGAUUGCGCAACUUGAGAAGAUAGCUAUUCUCCUGGAAACUUGAUAAAAGUAAGCAGUGCGCAGGAUUUUGUUAUUUUGUGCAGUCGUCGAACAACGCAUCCGUUUUUCUUGCUGUAUAAAUUGUGGGCUAAAAUUCCUCAAGAAUUUCUUCGAGGAGGCUUUGCAAUCGAAUUGAAUUUCAACAUGCGGGUUAGACGGUUGCCCAAAGUAUACUCACACAUGUGGAAAGCUUACAAAACUUCAAGUGUUCCACCAAUUUCAUCCACAGGACCAAAGGGAUCAUCCUGGGUCAUUUGCAAAGACUGUCAACAAGAAAUUUAACGAUUACGUACGUAGGGAUAGGGGCUGCUGAUUAUUGGCAAAUAUCGGUGCAUUUGCCCUAGUUAGCGUUUUUAAGAUUAACGAGGUUCCCAGGAAUAAAGUCUAUGAGUUUCUCAAUAGAAGUAUAUAGCCAUAUGCACAUGAUCUCUUUCGAGAGUUAGCAUAUGGUAAAUCGCCAAGUUACCACUAGUGAUGGUGAUAUCUAGUGAUCUUUUAUAAUUUCUCAUAAUUCUAGGGGGUUUUUCAUAAGCGAUUGUGCACAAUAUCUAACUAAUUGUGAACCUGGUGUGGGUGUGAGCAACACGGAUACUAAAACAAAACAAUAUCGACGAAUUAGAAAUAGGAUUGUCAAAUGAAGUAUAUAAUUAUUUGAAAAUGGCUAAGUUUAACGAUUUGAAGAUUUCACAACUCAAAAAGGAGCUGGAGGAACGGUUGGCGACAAUUGGUGUAAAAUCCGAAUUACAGUCACAGCAGUUAAAAUGUACAAAAUUGGCAUUUGAGCAACCGUUUCGAAUGCCCUGACACAGAAAGCUGUAUUUCUGCACUCUGUGUCCAACGAUGUAUUUUGUAUGGAAUAUUAAGCUUUUAAAAAGGAUUUUUUAUAGAAAGGUUCCAUGGUUAAAGCCCAUGAAGUAGAAAUAGAAGAUCAGACCUGGGUGAACCAAUUAAAGUUGAAGAAAAGAUGCAGAAAGUACAGGAAAAUCUAUAGAAGCGCGUUAGAAAAAUGAUACACUGCGAAAAAAUUGUUAUAUUUCACGCAACUGUAACCAUUUCAGUAAUUCAGUAGACGUACAUAAAUGCAAAGCUGAGGAAGAUCAAAGAAAUGUCACAUCCAACCAAUUGUUAAACUAAAGCAAGGCAGCCAAAAAAGGCAUGGACUGUUUCCCGCAACGGACGCCAUGUAAUCUCCAUUUCACAAAUAAGCAGGAAUACGAGUAAUGUUACCAUUAUGGAAUGUGUAGACGGUAAAAAGCGUAUACUGAGUGUGGAUACAAGCGCGUCACAUUCCAUAAUUCGAUCUGAUCUGGUU
rnacentral:lncRNA from 1 species